GAUGAACGCUGGCGGCGUGCCUAAUACAUGCAAGUCGAGCGAACAGACGAGGAGCUUGCUCCUCUGACGUUAGCGGCGGACGGGUGAGUAACACGUGGAUAACCUACCUAUAAGACUGGGAUAACUUCGGGAAACCGGAGCUAAUACCGGAUAAUAUAUUGAACCGCAUGGUUCAAUAGUGAAAGACGGUUUUGCUGUCACUUAUAGAUGGAUCCGCGCCGCAUUAGCUAGUUGGUAAGGUAACGGCUUACCAAGGCGACGAUGCGUAGCCGACCUGAGAGGGUGAUCGGCCACACUGGAACGGAGACACGGUCCAGACUCCUACGGGAGGCAGCAGUAGGGAAUCUUCCGCAAUGGGCGAAAGCCUGACGGAGCAACGCCGCGUGAGUGAUGAAGGUCUUCGGAUCGUAAAACUCUGUUAUUAGGGAAGAACAAAUGUGUAAGUAACUAUGCACGUCUUGACGGUACCUAAUCAGAAAGCCACGGCUAACUACGUG
rnacentral:rRNA from 1 species